CUAAUUCACAUUUCAAAUCGCUCUAAUACAACACGAGAUAUAGACAAGAAUAUUUUUAUUACUAUAUAAAUCAUGGAAAAGUGGAAACAACAAACUUAAACAGUAUAUUACAUAUCAAUCUUAAACAAGAAAUAUAAAGGUAAAUAUAUAGUACAAAGCAUAAAGACAUCAAUACAUAAUAAAUACAACCUACACAACUAAUCCUCUUCUUCUGAAGACUCUCCACUAAAC
rnacentral:lncRNA from 1 species